GACGAACGCGGGCGGCGUGCUUAACACAUGCAAGUCGAACGCUGAAGACCUGGCUUUUGUUGGGUGGAUGAGUGGCGAACGGGUGAGUAACACGUGAGUAACCUGCCCUCUUCUUUGGGAUAACGCCCGGAAACGGGUGCUAAUACUGGAUAUUCACUGGCCUUCGCAUGGGGGUUGGUGGAAAGGUUUGUUCUGGUGGGGGAUGGGCUUGCGGCCUAUCAGCUUGUUGGUGGGGUGAUGGCCUACCAAGGCUUUGACGGGUAGCCGGCCUGAGAGGGUGACCGGUCACAUUGGGACUGAGAUACGGCCCAGACUCCUACGGGAGGCAGCAGUGGGGAAUAUUGCACAAUGGGCGAAAGCCUGAUGCAGCGACGCCGCGUGAGGGAUGGAGGCCUUCGGGUUGUAAACCUCUUUCGCUCAUGGUCAAGCCGCAACUGUGGGUUGUGGUGAGGGUAGUGGGUAAAGAAGCGCCGGCUAACUACGUGCCAGCAGCCGCGGUAAUACGUAGGGCGCGAGCGUUGUCCGGAAUUAUUGGGCGUAAAGGGCUUGUAGGCGGUUGGUCGCGUCUGCCGUGAAAUUCUCUGGCUUAACUGGGGGCGUGCGGUGGGUACGGGCUGACUUGAGUGCGGUAGGGGAGACUGGAACUCCUGGUGUAGCGGUGGAAUGCGCAGAUAUCAGGAAGAACACCGGUGGCGAAGGCGGGUCUCUGGGCCGUUACUGACGCUGAGGAGCGAAAGCGUGGGGAGCGAACAGG
rnacentral:rRNA from 1 species